UGCCUCAGUAACGGCGAGUGAAGCGGCAAGAGCUCAAAUUUGAAAGCUGGCUCCUUCGGGGUCCGCAUUGUAAUUUGCAGAGGAUGCUUCGGGAGUGGCCCCCAUCUAAGUGCCCUGGAACGGGCCGUCAUAGAGGGUGAGAAUCCCGUCUGGGAUGGGGUGUCCACGCCCGUGUGAAGCUCCUUCGACGAGUCGAGUUGUUUGGGAAUGCAGCUCUAAAUGGGUGGUAAAUUUCAUCUAAAGCUAAAUACUGGCCGGAGACCGAUAGCGCACAAGUAGAGUGAUCGAAAGAUGAAAAGCACUUUGAAAAGAGAGUUAAACAGCACGUGAAAUUGUUGAAAGGGAAGCGCUUGCGACCAGACUCGCCCACGGGGUUCAGCCGGCAUUCGUGCCGGUGUACUUCCCCGCGGGCGGGCCAGCGUCGGUUUGGGCGGCCGGUCAAAGGCCCUCGGAAUGUAACGCCCCCCGGGGCGUCUUAUAGCCGAGGGUGCCAUGCGGCCAGCCCGGACCGAGGAACGCGCUUCGGCUCGGACGCUGGCAUAAUGGUCGUAAGCGACCCGUCUUGAAACACGGACCAAGGAGUCUAACAUCUACGCGAGUGUUCGGGUGUCAAACCCGUGCGCGCAGUGAAAGCGAACGGAGGUGGGAACCCCUCGGGGUGCACCAUCGACCGAUCCUGAUGUCUUCGGAUGGAUUUGAGUAAGAGCGUAGCUGUUGGGACCCGAAAGAUGGUGAACUAUGCCUGAAUAGGGCGAAGCCAGAGGAAACUCUGGUGGAGGCUCGCAGCGGUUCUGACGUGCAAAUCGAUCGUCAAAUUUGGGUAUAGGGGCGAAAGACUAAUCGAAC
rnacentral:rRNA from 1 species